rnacentral:rRNA from 1 species
CUACGGGAGGCAGCAGUGGGGAAUCUUGCGCAAUGGGCGAAAGCCUGACGCAGCGACGCCGCGUGAGGGAUGAAGGCCUUCGGGUUGUAAACCUCUUUCGGCAGGGACGAAGCGAAAGUGACGGUACCUACAGAAGAAGCACCGGCUAACUACGUGCCAGCAGCCGCGGUAAU